AAGACCUUGCGCUUUUGGAGCGGCCGAUGCCUGAUUAGCUUGUUGGUAAGGUAAAGGCUUACCAAGGCUUCGAUCAGUAGCUGGUCUGAGAGGACGGCCAGCCACACUGGGACUGAGACACGGCCCAGACUCCUACGGGAGGCAGCAGUGGGGAAUUUUGGACAAUGGGGGAAACCCUGAUCCAGCCAUGCCGCGUGAGUGAAGAAGGCCUUCGGGUUGUAAAGCUCUUUCAGCCGGAACGAAACGGUUACGGAUAAUACUCGUGACUACUGACGGUACCGGAAGAAGAAGCACCGGCUAACUACGUGCCAGCAGCCGCGGUAAUACGUAGGGUGCGAGCGUUAAUCGGAAUUACUGGGCGUAAAGCGUGCGCAGGUGGUUUUGUAAGUCAGAUGUGAAAGCCCCGGGCUCAACCUGGGAACU
rnacentral:rRNA from 1 species